AUUGAACGCUGGCGGCAGGCUUAACACAUGCAAGUCGAGCGGGGUGAGGUGCUUCGGUACUGAUCCUAGCGGCGGACGGGUGAGUAAUGCUUAGGAAUCUGCCAUUUAGUGGGGGACAACAUUCCGAAAGGGAUGCUAAUACCGCAUACGUCCUACGGGAGAAAGCAGGGGAUCUUCGGACCUUGCGCUAAAUGAUGAGCCUAAGUCGGAUUAGCCAGUUGGUGGGGUAAAGGCCUACCAAGGCGACGAUCUGUAGCGGGUCUGGGAGGAUGAUCCGCCACACUGGGACUGAGACACGGCCCAGACUCCUACGGGAGGCAGCAGUGGGGAAUAUUGGACAAUGGGCGGAAGCCUGAUCCAGCUAUGCCGCGUGUGUGAAGAAGGCCUUUUGGUUGUAAAGCACUUUAAGCGAGGAGGAGGCUACCUAGAUUAAUACUCUGGGAUAGUGGACGUUACUCGCAGAAUAAGCACCGGCUAACUCUGUGCCAGCCGCCGCCGUAAUAC
rnacentral:rRNA from 1 species